rnacentral:tRNA from 1 species
CCUCUGGUAGCUCAGUUGGUAGAGCGGUGGACUGUAGUGGUGUAAGGUGGAUCAGUAAUCCAUAGGUCGCUGGUUCAAAUCCGGCCCGGAGGA